rfam:Brassica napus, WGS project CCCW01000000 data, contig: 6318
UGUGCUUCAUAAUGGUGAACUCUCUUAGAUUAUAAAAGUGAGAGAAGUUCAAGUUUCCGGAGCAAAGAUUAAUCUGGCCAGAAUUUUAACAGCACUGUGUUUAUAUAUCUCUGUAAUGUUUACAGUGUUACCUGUCUUCUGGUAUAUUU